CAGCACAAACACACACAUACUAUAUAUAUAUAUAUCACAUGAACUUGAUCUAACACUUGGAUUAUAAAAUGGAACAAGUUCACAAGAUUGAACACAAACACAAGCUUGCAGAUUACUAACUCACAAAGCAAAAUCACAUAGACCAAACAUUAUACAUAGCAACUAGGCCUAACAUUUCAGAGAACACAAGAUGUAACAUGAUAUUACAAGUAUGAAACUGAACCAAAUCUGAAUAUUACAUAAUUCUGAACAUCACACUUCUCAAGUUUACAGAAAUUUGGGAGAGAGGGAGAGAGAUAACAGCAGCAACUAGUUGAAGGAAAAGAAGAGCUUCAGGUUAGGAGCAGCAGCAACAACGGUUUGGAGAGGGAGCAUCAGCAGGUCAAGGAAGAAGGAGCAACAGCAGAUCGUGGGAAAAGGAGCAACAACAGAGACGAGUGGAGAGGGAGCAGUAGCAGAUACGAGGGGAGAGGGAGCAGAAACUGAUACGAGGGGAGAAGGAUCAGCAGCAGAUCCAACAGGGACGUGGGGAGAGGGAGCAACAAGGGGGCGCUGGAGAGAGGAGCAGCAGUAGGGGAUGGGGAUCAGAGGACGGCGCUGGUGUGGAUGGUGGUGCUGGAGUGGAUGGACGGUUGGGUGGCGCCGGUGGCACGAUGGACGGAUGCAUGGAGAUGGUGGUACAGGGUGGUGUUGUUGGCGCACCUACCACGCCGGCAUGGCCGUGGUGGCGACUGGAGGUGGAGAAGGAGGGGUCAGGGAAGAAGAAGAUGGAGGUACUAGGCCCGAAGGGGAUCGAAGGCUUCUCUAGGGAUUUUGACCCCUCACGACUGAUUUCCUCCUUUGCAAUUUGGUCCCUCUACUUUUCUUCUUUCUGCACAAGUUGAUCCUCCCCUUGUUUAGUUUGACCCCUCGGUCUCUUCUUUCCUUCACGCUUCCAAACCUUGAAGUUUAUAGUGCCUUAGCGCACUUUUCUGCAAAAUAAACAAGUGACGAGUAAAUGAUGUUUUAUAUGACUUUCAUUCAAAUAUGUGAUAUUUCAUAGCAAGAAUAGAGGAAUAUAUCACAACAGAUGUUAUAUUUGAGUGCCUACUUAUCAAGUUCCCCCACACUUAAAUCUUUACUUGUCCUCAAGUAAAGGCAUAUCAGAGAGAAAGAUAGUGAACAGUAAACUGACUAAAGAAUGUCCAAGUGAAGUAGAUCUCUAAACAAUGCAUGCUUUGAACUUUGCUAGUGAAAAAUAAUGGUUAGGGUUGCUACAAACAAUAUGGUACUAGUAGACUUGAUCAUUUUAAUCUUUUACAAUGAUAGACGAAGAUCAACAAGUUUAAAUGAUGAUUGUUCCAAAAGGUUCCUAAAGAGAGCAUGAUCCCGAGGACAAGAACUUAAACUUGUGAUCAGAUCACUUAUUUAUAGAAAUAAAGCAAUGUGGUUAAACCACUUAUUGAAUUUGAAGGAAUCAAUGACAAUAUGUUAUUGGUCUAACCAAAGGAACAUACCACCGAUCCCGAGAACAUGGUAUACACCUGGCUCGACCAAUUAUUAGUUUUUUUUGUUUGUCUCCCAAAAGUAACAUGCCGCCGAUCCAAAGAACAUGGUAUACACCUGGUUCAACAAUUACAUUUUUUAUACUUAACUCCUAUCUCACCCAACCAGAUUUCACAAGCCACCGAUCCAGGGAACAUGGCAUGCUACUAUUAGGUAGAUCAUAUAAUUAUACAUUACAAUUUUAUUUUAUUUUUCAAACGAACAAAAACAAGAAUCAUCACUCAUCCAUGUCUGGUUCACAUGCUACCGAUCCAGGGAACAUAGCAUGCUAAUCCAUAGUGGUCAAGUAAUUGCUCUGAAUGGGAACACACUUGGCACAAAUUCAGCAUCUAAACAUAGUGAUCUAGGUGUAUCAAGGUAAAAGCAGAAAAUGGUGGAGUUUACUAGUGCACUAGGGAUUUGAGCACUCGAAACAAAUGACUUUUACUAAUUUCAGCAAAGCAAGCAUUGUAUAGAUCGGUAGUUUACGAGGCAUUCGGAAAUCAGUUCACAAAUUCAUAUCAAGCAUAAUAUGACAUAAGCAAAUUUCAGGAUGACACAAUUAACAAAUGUCACAAGAAACCCAAAUAUCAAAUGAUUUCAUCAUGUAUCAAUAUAUGAUUAUUUUAGAAUGGAUCAUGAAACAGCUCACCGGGCUUGGAUGAUGUAGCACUCGCUCGAUCAUCUCACCAACUGCAGCUCUUCUCCUCUUGCUUAUCGCAUGCCCGCUCCAACUUCACUCUUCUUCGUGUGUGCCCCUUGCUUCUCCUCUUCACCAUGCUUUGAAUCCACCAGGGUCCCAAGGAAUGUCACCUCAAACCUGGUCACCAUGUAGUAGAUCGUGCACAAGCAAAAACCUGAAAGACCACUCAACAACACAGACAAUGCAAGUGGUUGGUACAAUGCCCUCUAAAUCAUCAAUAGAGUACCCAAUUACAUAUCCAUAGCAAUAAAGCACAUGCUUAGGAUAGUAGGAAUAAGCAAGCUCAAUACUAGCAUGGUGAUGAUAUUUAUCAUUAAGCAUAGGUCUAGCAUGAGGAGAAUAAGUAUCAUCAAUAGAAAUAUGAGCAAUGUCACUAACAGGCUAAGUAUCAUCAUCUCCAAGCCAAUAAUUUUUCAAGUCUACUUUCACUGAUGGUGUCAUGAAAUGCAAGGUAUAAGCAAAGAAAUCAUAAGGAUGCAUAUCAUCAAGAGGAUUAGAAAAACCUGUUACAUCACACUCUUGUAUGACGAUUGGCAAAUGAAUCUCUAGUUCUUCAUCUUCAAGUACAACAGCUUCUUUUACUUCUUCAGGAGUGAGAGAUGAUGGUUCUUCUACUUGAUGACUUGGGCAUUCGAGCUCUAGAUCAUCUUGUGCCUUGGCUUCGAAUACAUCUUAAAUCUGAGGUCUCUCUUUCUCUUUGCGUAUGCUAUCUUGCUCAACUGAAUGUGAAGGUAUUGGAACCUCACAUGUAUCCAGGGAAAUCCCAGCAACACUCAGCUCAAGAAGUGAUGAGAUAGUACCUCCAGCAUUGAUAUUCUUCUCAAUAUUCCUCACUUCUUCCACUAGCUCUUUCCCACUCUUGAUCUUCUUAAUUUCCUCUAGUAUAACCUUCCUAAUAGGAUCAUCCUGAGCGCUCCAAGUGAACUCGAGGCUAAGAAGUGUGAGCUUCUCUAUGUCGUCAAAAUCAUCUUUAGUAGGCACUUGCACUGGAUACUCAACAUGCGUUGGAGGUGUUAGCUCACCAAAUGGAGGACCAUUUAACUCCAUUGGACACAUCUCCUGAUGCUGAGGUAUAUGAGUAGGAGCUGAAUAGAGUUGUUGUGGUGCAUAGUUGUGGCUCUCGUGUUCAUACCUAAAUCCCUGCAUAUGAUUUCUUGAAGCAAAUGGUGAGAUCUCAGGGUUGUUGCUCCUAUAUUACAUAUUCUGGUUUUCAGGCCACCCAUGUGAGUAAUUGUUGUGGUAUGAGCUAUGCUAUGGGGCAAAGCUCAUGCCAAAACAAUCUGGAGGGUAAGAGUAACCACGCUGACAUUCAGCGGGUGAAUGGCCCUGAAAUCCACAAAUAUAGCAUGUAGGAGCAGCAUAAGGAUGGCCUACAUAAUAAGGAUCAUAACAACUAGGUGCGUUCUCAACAUCUAUACCUCGCUGCUGAGCUAAUUCAUCUAAUUGAUGGGAAAUCUUACUUAUCAGGUCUUGAACACUUUUCGUGUUAUUUGUGCUAUUGCUCACAUAAGCAUGAUGAUCGGAGUAGAAUGCCAUUUCCAAGAAGAUUGUUCUAACCUCCAGAAAGGAAAAAAGAAAUAAAGAGGAAAUAUACUAGAACAGGGGUUAGUUGUCAGAGAUAUAUCACAUAAAAACGUCACAAAAAGAAAACAAGAAAAACCUAGUCUAUAGGCUAACACAAUAGCUCGACGCUAGUCCUCGGCAACGGCGCCAAAAUGAUCGAGUGUAAGUACAAUGCGGCUUUACGCCCAAACUGCGGGUUGUCGUGUUCUCCACAGGGAAUAGGCAAAUCAGCGACUAUGCUCGGCUAAAUCUAGGUAACAAAAUAUUUGGAAUGAUUGCGGGGAAAUAAACCUAAAUUUAUCUAAGAUCGUUCCGGAAAAUCGUCGAUCAAGAAAAUGCAAAACAAGCAAAAGGGAGGUUCANGUUGAAGGAAAAGAAGAGCUUCAGGUUAGGAGCACCAGCAGCAUCAGUUUGGAGAAGGAGCAACAGCAGGUCAAGGAAGAAGGACCAGCAGCAGAUCGUGGGAAAAAGAGAAGCAUCAGAGACGAGUGGAGAGGGAGCAGGAGCAGAUACGAGGGGAGAGAGAGCAGCAGCUGAUACGAGGGGAGAGGGAGCAACAGCAGAUCCAACAGGGACGUGGGGAGAGGGAGCAGCAAGGGGGCGCUAGAGAGAGGAGCAGCAGCAGGGGAUGGGGAUCAGACGACGACGCUGGUGUGGAUGGUGGUGCUGGAGUGGAUGGACGGUUGGGUGGCACGCUUGCGGUGGCACAGUGGACGGAUGGAUGGAGAUGGUGGUACACGGUGGUUAUGUUGGCGCGCCUAUCACGCCGGCCUGGCCGUGGCGGCGGCCAGAGGUGUAGAAGGAGGGGUGAGGGAAGAAGAAGAUGGAGGUACNNNNNNNNNNNNNNNNNNNNNNNNNNNNNNNNNNNNNNNNNNNNNNNNNNNNNNNNNNNNNNNNNNNNNNNNNNNNNNNNNNNNNNNNNNNNNNNNNNNNNNNNNNNNNNNNNNNNNAGAAGAAGAUGGAGGUACCAGGCCCGAAGGGGAUCAAAGGCUUCUCUAGGCUUCG
rnacentral:lncRNA from 1 species